CUAAUUUUCAGGUCACUUGACAUAGUCAGCAUGGCCCACGCUCUGUUUGGUUAAAUUGCCUUUUGUGAAGGAAAGCAAUUUUCUGAUUGCCCAAUGUGAAUGCAGGUAUCGUGGCACUUGACGGUUUCAUUGGGUUGUACAGGAGUUUUGUACCUAAUGCAUUGAAGAAUCUCCCAAACAGUAGAUGCAUUGAGGUCGGAAAGCCUCGAGCUUGUGCAACCCAGCUCUCUUACAAUCCAACACAGGCCUAGAUAGAAGGUGUGCAAUAUCCAAGCUUUCCAUCAGGUGGUUCCCCACUUCUUGAUGCCACGGUCCAAAAAUCAAGCAAGUCUACUCCAUGUAAGGAUCACCAAAAGCAAGGGCCCCACACCUUUGGCUUAUUAUUAUUAUUAUUAUUUUUCUUAUAAAUCUUCUUUGCUUCAAUAUAACGAAGGGUUUCCAUAAUGUUUGACUUGUAUUAUGUAUUUAUCUUUGGUUGUAAGAUGCUUAUUCAAAGUGGAAGUAACUAUAUAG